rnacentral:rRNA from 1 species
UACGUAGGGGGCAAGCGUUGUCCGGAAUUAUUGGGCGUAAAGCGCGCGCAGGCGGUCUUUUAAGUCUGAUGUGAAAGUCCAUGGCUCAACCAUGGGAUUGCAUUGGAAACUGGGAGACUUGAGUGCAGUAGAGGAGAGUGGAAUCCUGGUGUAGCGGUGAAAUGCGUAGAGAUCAGGAGGAACACCAAUGGCGAAGGCAGCUCUCUGGACUGUAACUGACGCUGAGGCGCGAAAGCUAGGGGAGCAAACAGG